rnacentral:rRNA from 1 species
UGGGGAAUAUUGCACAAUGGGCGCAAGCCUGAUGCAGCCAUGCCGCGUGUGUGAAGAAGGCCUUCGGUUGUAAAGCACUUUCAGCGAGGAGGAAGGUGGUGAGCUUAAUACGCUCAUCAAUUGACGUUACUCGCAGAAGAAGCACCGGCUAACUCCGUGCCAGCAGCCGCGGUAAUACGGAGGGUGCAAGCGUUAAUCGGAAUUACUGGGCGUAAAGCGCACGCAGGCGGUUUGUUAAGUCAGAUGUGAAAUCCCCGGGCUCAACCUGGGAACUGCAUUUGAAACUGGCAAGCUAGAGUCUCGUAGAGGGGGGUAGAAUUUCCAGGUGUAGCGGUGAAAUGCGUAGAGAUCUGGAGGAAUACCGGUGGCGAAGGCGGCCCCCCUGGANGAAGACUGACGCUCAGGUGCGAAAAGCGUGGGGGAGCAAAACAGGUUAGNUACCCUGGUAGUCACGCUGU